UGCUAAUCCAUCCAUUCCACCCGUUGCUCUCUCUAGUCUACCACUCGCCAACAAUGACUUCCCAUUCUCUCACUACGCUUAACCAGCGCCUCUGCUCGAUUUCAAUUAGCCGUCCAUCCUCACACCUAUUGCCAAUUGGAAGUAUGGCAGCAUAUGAAAAGAACAAAGAUAAGAAACAUAAAGCAAGCACUGCAUUGUGGAGUGCAACUUAUUUAGAGAAAGAAGAACUAAAUAGUAACUUAUUUGAAAGAAAAAAUGGCUCUAUCUUGCCCACCAACCCUCCUCUCCGGCCCUCGCCAGAAUCCAUCGACGGCGGCCAGAACACUCUCAAUUUCCGACCUUUCCGCUGCUUCACCUCCGAGGAAGCCUCAGCUCCACUCCAAACUAGCGUUAAAACAGCCUCCACUCUCAUCGAUCUUCACUAAACCCUCCAAACCCCACCAGCCCAAAAUGGCCAACACCACAGUGAAAUCCCUUUUCACUGGAAUUGUGGAAGAAAUGGGCACAAUCAAGCACCUGGGUUUCGACCAACCCGACAGUUUCACCAUGAAAAUCCAAGCAAAAACCGUUCUUGAAGGCGUGCACUUGGGCGACAGCAUCGCAGUCAACGGAACCUGCCUAACGGUGACCGAAUUCGACACCGUUUCGUCCGAAUUCUCGGUUGGGUUGGCGCCGGAGACGCUGCGGAAGACCUCUCUGGGCGAAUUGGAGAGUGGGUCUUUGGUCAAUUUGGAGAGGGCGCUGAGCCCUAGCACCAGAAUGGGGGGACAUUUUGUGCAGGGGCAUGUCGAUGGGACCGGAGAAAUCGUGGAGUUGAGGCCGGAGGGAGACUCACUGUGGGUGAAAGUGAAGGUUGGGAGGGAGAUUUUGAGGUACAUUGUGCCUAAGGGGUUUAUUGCUGUGGAUGGGACAAGUUUGACUGUGGUGGAUGUGUUUGAUGAUGAAGGGUGUUUCAAUUUCAUGUUGGUGGCUUACACACAGCAGAAAGUUGUGAUUGCUUUGAAGAAAGUUGGGCAGAAGGUGAAUUUGGAGGUUGAUAUUUUGGGGAAGUAUGUGGAGAGACUGCUUGGGAGCGGAUUUGUGGAUUCAUUCAAAUCAUCUUGAAGUAAUCUUAUGGUGGUUACCUUGAUAUAUCCUACUUUGUCAGUGCAAUGCCAUUGCCUUAUUCUAACACAUCCAUUAGAAAAAUCAGACGAAUCCCAGUCUACCUCAACUCGUGGUUUGAACCCACUCAAACACCUACACGCUGGUGAGUGAUUGGUAUUACACAUUGUAUUGGGCCCACACAUGGCAUAUGCUCCACAGGAAUACAGCUUCACCAUUAGCAGAUCCCAGGCCUGCCUGACCUCCAGCCACUGAAACAGCUCCAUUCUGCCGCGAUGAUCAAUCAGAAUUCUAGAUAGCACAGACUUAUUAUAAUAUGUCGCAUAUACAUCUCCAUCGCGUGCAAGGUAUAUCCAACACUGGUGGGACCCUUGCUGCUAUGACCGGAACAGUUGGCGCUGGGUUUUUCGUGGAACUAGCAGGCUCCUUCAAAGGAUUUUUAUUGCUCUCAUCAUUCCUGUAUUUCUCUGCAGCAGUAUUCUACAAUGUCUACUCUACUGGAGAAAGAGUCAAUUUUGAUGAAACUUGUGCUUAGCAAUUAUCAGCUUUUAAAAGCUCCCCUUGUUUAGCCAUCUAGUUGUGUGUGUGAUCUGGAAGGGCAAUACAGUUAACGAAUACAUUUCACUAUAGGCAUACUUAGUCUAUAACAGAGGCGAGAAAUGAUUGUAAAUAACAGAAAGUUUGGCUAUUAUUGCCAUGUAAAAAAGUCAUUAACAUGUUCGACAAA